ensembl:lncRNA
UGUGGUCAGUGGGUGAUACUGGUGGUAGGGGACAGUUGGAGUAGAUGAUCUUAAUGGUCUUUUCCUAUCUUAACGUUUCCAUGGUUCUAUGAUCCCAAUGCAGCCAAGGCCUGUGGAUACUACUGCAUUAAAACAACAACUUUUAUCUUCCUCUCAGAUGUGAAUUUAAUCUUUGCUUAUUUUUAUGCUUCAUAACUAGCGGCUGUUUCUGUAACCCCUGUGUUGAUUUCUCACACAUAGUCUAUGUGAUACCUACCCUUCAUGAGUAAUCCUUGUGUGUUUUGCACGAUUUGACAUAAAAGUUCUCUGCUAAUCAAAAGCUAUUGCUGCUGUGAUGUUUCUGUGCUGUGAAAUGACCUCCAGUCAAUGAAAGCCCCCUCCAAAACAUCCCUGCCUACACCUACUGCUUUGUGACCUUGUUUCCUGCGGGUGAAGGUGGGAAAGAAGAACACGGUUACCUUUGAGCAAAGAGCUGUGUGACCGUGGGUGUCAAUAAUAUCACCAGAACUUAGCUAUGGUGUUGCAGUGCCCUUUUGCUGGCUUUCUGUGCAAGCACAUAUCUGUAAUAGCAUCAUUUGUCGCAAAGAUUUCACUUAGUUUCUUCCUCUCAGGCAUGGUAUGUGAUCACUGAAUCUUGAAGUCAUUCCUCAGACAAGUCAUCUUGCCUUUGAUGAAGAUUUGUAAUCCUGGAAGGGCUGUUCAAAAUCUAUGCCAGUAAUUUUUCAUAUUUGGAGGUAUUAAUGAUGUACAAAUUCCUGGGUUCAGUACUGGCCAAGCUGCUACAGUCUAUUUUAUAUUGAAGUAAAUACAAAUGAUCGAAGCAGAACUUCUGGCUUGAACAUGUGCAAAUGCUACCAUUAUCAGCUGAAGUAAUUACAUGGCAUGCAUUUGUUUAAAUACUUAGUGUAGCUGCUGACCCUAUGGCAUCAUCUCCCUCUUUUGUAACAUCCAUGGACAUUUUGAGAGGUUUGCAUUUGCCAAUGGAGCUCCAUCCCUACUGUGUCCCCAGGCUUGAUGUACUGCAUGGUUUGGGACGCGGGACUGAUUUCUUACACGUGUCCUCUCUGACUCUUCAGGAAGGAUGGCAGCUAUUGAGGUUAUUACGUUGUUACCCCAUACUCCACCCAUGACUGCAGCACAAUCUCACUCUCUUGGCUGCUGUUUCAGAAACAGCCAGUGGAGUUGGCUCUGCAUGGAUACGCUGAGCUGAAUUUGGAGCAAACACCAGUCCCUGUGCUGUAUGUAAUUAGAAGAUGCUUCCGGUGGGUGAGAUGCUGGAGGAGUGCUUUGGCCAUGUCAAACCGCAGUCUCUCUCCAGAUUCAAAUCCACAACACCAUCAACUUUAGAGCGCUCUUGGAGAGAAGCCACAGGAACUGCUCCAUGUUACCCUCAGCACUGUAAGCCACUGUGUCAAACCCAUCUAUGGGGGUUGCUUUUGAGAUGUUUGUCCUUCACUUUCGGAGCUGCAAAGGCUUCAUUUGGUACCUGGCACUACUCCCAUGGAAGUCAACUGGAAGAGGCCAACAGACUUCCCUGAAAGUUGUAGUUUCCAUGGAAAUAAAUAAGAGGCAUUACUUUCGGAGCGACCUACGUGUUAUUGAGACCCGGUUCCAUGGAACGCAUUAUCGGGAAGGACUUAAUGGCGACACAGCAGGUAAAGGGAGAAUUUAUUUGCUCAAGCUUACUCACAUGAAGUCAUAUACAAUUUCUGUUUCUCUUAGCCCAGGCAUUUUGAGAAUGGUGCAUGCCUCCUAUCCUACCCACAGCACUGCGUGAGGAACCACGAUGGGAAAUGCAGCCAGAACACACCAUUUUGCUGCCCUGGGUCCCCCAGUCCGUGCUCCUCACCUGUUGCAGGCAAUGUGGGUUCCCUCACAGGGCUGAAGAGCGAUCAGAGGGGCUGCAUCACUGCCCUGCACGCUGCAAAAUAAAUCCACGUCAGUGCAUAAAGGGGGAGAGAAAGGAAACGCCGGGUCCCUUCCCUCCGUAUUUUCCGUGUUUUAUAACACCUCUGUCAGCACACAUUGCCAUUCACUGCAGAAAUUACAUCUCACGAGCGCUACAAUAGGAUUUGAAGACAAAUGACACGCGAGCACCGCAGCUCUGUGCCGGCUUAAGCGAUCCCAAUACCUUCAUCACAUACGGGGUAUCGGGAUGCACGCAGCCCACUUGUUCCAAAUGGCACACGGCAAAGAUUGAGCGUCACAGGACUCUGGGCGGCACGAAACCAGCCCGGACAGAAUGUGUUUUAAAUGCAGGAGGGCUUUCAGACCGCAGGGUGCAAUGAUGGCACCUAACCCUAACCCUAACCCUAACCCUAACCGCUACCUCCCUCCAGCCCCGUUUCCAAAACUCCUGAAGGUUGGUGAGGUUUUCGAGUGCCCUCGUGCCCAGGCUGUAACAUUCCCAUCCGCCAUACAGCUCCUGUGCUUUCAAGUUGCAAGAGGUGAAAACAUUUUAGCUUUUCGGGCGGGUAAACACCUCCCUGUGAAACAAUGUAAGCGAGGCGGAUGCCGCCCAGGUGCACAGGGGAUAAAGGAGAACAGGGGGGGAUUGCUUACACAGGGGCAAAACUCACCCUGGGGGCCAUAGGGCACAAAUUGGGAUGCUGGGAAAGGGACUCCGUGACGGUGCUGUGAUUGAAACCCUGGGCAGCCUGGUCUAGUAUUAAAUGGGGAGGUUGGUGGCCCUGCAUGCAGCAGGGGGGUUGGAGAUUCAUGAUCCCUGAGGUCCCUUCCAACCCAGGCCAUUCUGUGAUUCUGUGUGUGAUUCUGUGACUGGGGAGCCCGACUGGAGGGCUGCGCUUCUCUUGGUCAGAGCUGAACAUGCAGGAUGGAUACUGACGGAUGCCAGCAUGUUUAUAUUUCACUGUCCCGCCCAUUCCUCCAUUCUUCAGCUGUUUCAGAGCUUGUCCUUCAACAAAACAAGCAGCCCUGUAGGAGAUGUUGGCUCACGUUUGGUCUUCCCUUGAAGCUGUGACAUUCCCUGAGCAUCAGCCAGGAACCCCCCUCUCCCCACUGCACCCAUCUCCAGUCCCACUGCACCCCCGUGCAGUCACAGAAUCACAGAAUGGUAGAACCAUUAAGGACCAAAAGACCUCUAAGACCAUCUUGUCCAACCAUCAACCCACCCCACCAUGCCCACUAUGUCUCCCAGUGCCACAUCUCCACGGCUCUUGAUGUCCUCCAUGGUCAGUGACCCCACUGCCUCCAUGGGCAGACUGUGCCAAUGCAGGGAGCAGGGCUCAGCCCCCCCGCUCUGCCCUCUCACAAACACAUCAUCUCCAUCUCAUCUCCC